rnacentral:lncRNA from 1 species
CACCUUGUCUCUGAAAAAUAAAUAAAUAAAUCUCAUUUAUCUUUUUCACUCAGUACUGUAUUUAAAAAAAAAUUUUUUUUUAAUUUUAUUUUAGAGAUAGAAGUCUACCUCUGUUGCUCAAGCUGGUCUUGAACUCCUGGCCCCAAGUGAUCCUCCUGCCUCAGCCUCCCAACUUGCUGGAUUACAGGCAUGAGCUGCUGCACCUGCCCAGGACAAGAGACAGGGUGCCAAGAUCGUUCCAACUCCCUGUCCCACAGCUACAACUUAUUCAAAAAAGUUCCCAGCCUGUAAUCCCAGCACUUUGGGAGGCUGAGCCGAGGGGAUCAUUUGAGCCCGGGAGGUUGAGACCAGCCC